rnacentral:rRNA from 1 species
AGCGAACGCUGGCGGCAGGCCUAAAACAUGCAAGUCGAACGCCGUAGCAAUACGGAGUGGCAGACGGGUGAGUAACACGUGGGAACGUACCCUUUGGUUCGGAACAACACAGGGAAACUUGUGCUAAUACCGGAUAAGCCCUCACGGGGAAAGAUUUAUCGCCAAAGGAUCGGCCCGCGUCUGAUUAGCUAGUUGGUGGAGUUACGGCCCACCAAGGCUACGAUCAGUAGCUGGUCUGAGAGGAUGAUCAGCCACACUGGGACUGAGACACGGCCCAGACUCCUACGGGAGGCAGCAGUUAGGAAUCUUGGACAAUGGGCGCAAGCCUGAUCCAGCCAUGCCGCGUGAGUGAUGAAGGCCUUAGGGUUGUAAAGCUCUUUCAGCGGGGAAGAUAAUGACGGUACCCGCAGAAGAAGCCCCGGCUAACUUCGUGCCAGCAGCCGCCGUAAC